GGCAUGAGCUUCUUCAGUCUGUUUAUUGCGGGCACGUAAGUCGUGUCGAACAGGUUAUUGACCGAGGCACAUGGAAGUUCUUCGUUGCAUCGCAAAAAUGGAUGGGAAUGAGAUUCGAAGUGCUUGAUAAAGAGAAGUAUAACACGUGGAAUUUUAAAUGCG